CUUAAUAAACUUCCUAAAAUCAAAGUACUAGACCCAUAAGAGGCUCCUGAACUUACCAAAAACACUCUACGACUACUGACUCUGCCAGUGAACGUCACUCUUCCUGGCCCUUGUUCUUCUCUGUAACCCGCGGUAUGGCUGGGGUGAGAGUGAAAGUGGAAGAAACGGUGGCAUGUGGAGCUGGUUCGUCAUCUUCGCCUUCAUCUUCUGCUUCGAGUCUCUCUCCUCGCCCUAUGGAGGGGCUGCACGAGAUGGGGCCUCCUCCAUUUCUUACCAAGACCUUUGAGAUGGUGGAAGACCCAUCCACCGACCCUGUUGUUUCUUGGAGCCGUGCUCGUAACAGCUUCAUUGUCUGGGACUCUCACAAGUUCUCCACCACCAUUCUUCCUCGCUACUUCAAGCACGGCAACUUUUCCAGCUUCAUUCGCCAGCUCAACACAUAUGGAUUUAGAAAAGUUGAUCCUGAUCGCUGGGAAUUUGCAAACGAAGGGUUUUUGAGUGGACAGAAGCACUUAUUGAAGACAAUCAAGAGAAGAAGAAAUGUGUCGCAGAGUGUACAGCAAGAACGGGGUGUUGCUUGUGUUGAAGUGGGGCAAUACGGAUUUGAAGGCGAGCUCGACAGGCUGAGGAGAGACAGGACGGUGAUCAUGACCGAAAUUGUGAAAUUGAGACAGCAGCAGCAGAAUUCGCGGGCGCAACUGAUUGCGAUGGAGGAAAGAUUACAGUCCACGGAGAAGAAACAGCAACAGAUCCUCACUUUCCUUGCCAAAGCACUGAACAACCCCACUUUUAUACAACAAUUUGCCCAGAGAAACGCCCAAAACAAAGAAUUACUUGGUGUUGAUAUGAGGCGAAAGAGGAGACUAACUGCUAGCCCGAGUGUGGAGAAUUUACAGGAUGAUUCUGUGACGGUGGCAGUGCCUAGUGAACCAGUGGUGGACUAUUCCACAAAUGAAGAGGAAGAACUGGCAACGAUAGAAUCUGAGAUAGAGACUUUUUUCUCAGCUCCUCACGAUAAUGAGUCAAGCAGUGACAAGAAAGAGCCAGCAUCAAGUUCAAUUCCUACAGCUAGCGGGAGCAACCUGGGUUCAGUGAGUGACGCAAUUUGGGAGGACUUGCUGAACGAAGACUUAGUUCACGGCAAUCCGGAGGAGGAAAUCAUAUUUGGUGAGCAGUCCCAAACCGAUGCUGCAGUGGAAGAGUUGAUAGGAAAGUCUGAUGAGUGGGCUGACGGCCUAGAGGACUUAGUAGAUCAAUUGGGUUAUCUUGGGUCCAAGCCCCAGUAAAUAUGAAGUGGUUCAUUUUUAUCAGUUUGGCCUCUGCAAUUCCAUUGUCCGUUCCCUGCUUAACUAGUGCAGGGAAAAUGGGGUAGCUGCUGCAGAGGCCAUCACAUACUGCUGUUUUAUCUGUAUCCUUAUAAAUCAACCUAGGCGUUUGAAUAUUUGUUGUGCUUAACUGCUUAUUACGAUUGAUUCCCUUUCCCUUGUUGUUAACUACAUGGUGACUUUUGCAGGCUUGUGUCCACAAGGAGACGAAGUUGUGUAGUCCUGCCUAGGAUCACUGCUUGCAUUCUUUCUGGGUUUACCGUUUUGGCAUGGGGGAAUUGGAAGCUUCAGUUACUUGUGCAUGACGUAAACUGCUACUUCGUAAGAGAAAUAAUCUGGAACAUUCUUUGGCUUGCUACAUGCAUUGCAUACUGUAUUAUAUGGUCAUUAUUUGUAUAGAAGUGGAUGGACAAUAAUAUUCACAAUCCAUCAUGUUGUAUCAAGAAAGAUUUCUUGAUUAACAAGUUUGAUGAGUCGAUUUUGCUAUUGACCCGA